rnacentral:lncRNA from 1 species
GAACUAAAGAAUGGGCAGUCCUGGAGAAAAGCCUCUGAUGUGAUUGGUAGACGGGAAAAUUUAGAGGAGGGGACACGAGUAAAAGGUCUAUAUAUUUCCUGUCACUUCCUCUCUCCAGUACCUUUGGCGGCAGAGAAGUGGCUGGUGGCAGCAUGCUGGGCCUUUUGGCAUCUUGGUGUGGUUUUGUCCGGUUUGGUGGAUGCUUCUUUAAUGAAAUAGUGCCAUAGACUGAAAACGCAAACAUGAGGAUGGCAGGUAAGAUAUUUAUUUCAUUUGUAUUUGCAUUAAUUUGGAAAUAAAUCAUAUUGUUCAUUAAUGAAUAAAAGAUUA